rnacentral:piRNA from 1 species
UGGAAACAGAGCCUCUUGGCCAUACUGAUU